rnacentral:rRNA from 1 species
CGGGGUGGAGUAACGCGUGGGUAACCUGCCUUGUACAGGGGGAUAACAGUUGGAAACGGCUGCUAAUACCGCAUAAGCGCACGGCAUCGCAUGAUGCAGUGUGAAAAACUCCGGUGGUAUAAGAUGGACCCGCGUUGGAUUAGCUAGUUGGUGAGGUAACGGCCCACCAAGGCGACGAUCCAUAGUCGACCUGAGAGGGUGACCGGCCACAUUGGGACUGAGACACGGCCCAA